GUUGACGCUGGCGGCAGGCUUAACACAUGCAAGUCGAACGAGUGGCGGACGGGUGAGUAAUGUCUGGGAAACUGCCCGAUGGAGGGGGAUAACUUCUGGAAACGGUAGCUAAUACCGCAUACCAUCGGAUGUGCCCAGAUGGGAUUAGCUGGUAGGUGGGGUAAUGGGUCACCUAGGCGACGAUCCCUAGCUGGUCUGAGAGGAUGACCAGCCACACUGGAAAUGAGACAAGGUCCAGACCACUACGGUAGGCAGCGGUGGGGAAUAUGGUACAAUGGGCGCAAGCCUGAUGGAGCCAUGCCGCGUGUAGGAAGAAGGCCUUCGGGUUGUAAAGUAAUGUCAGCGUGGAGGAGUUACCCGCAGAAUAAGCACCGGCUAACUCCGUGCCAGCAGCCGCGGUAAUAC
rnacentral:rRNA from 1 species